GUUUUAAUAGUUUAAAAAAAACAUUGGUCUUGUAAACCAAAAAUAAGAGAAGCUUUUAAAACU
rnacentral:tRNA from 1 species